rnacentral:rRNA from 1 species
UACGUAGGGGCGAGCGUUGUCCGGAAUGAUUGGGCGUAAAGGGCGCGUAGGCGGCGAGUUAAGUCUGGAGUGAAAGUCCUGCUUUCAAGGUGGGAAGUGCUUUGGAAACUGGCUUGCUUGAGUGCAGGAGAGGUUAGCGGAAUUCCCGGUGUAGCGGUGAAAUGCGUAGAGAUCGGGAGGAACACCAGUGGCGAAGGCGGCUAACUGGACUGUAACUGACGCUGAGGCGCGAAAGCGUGGGGAGCAAACAGGAUUAGAUACCCGCGUAGUCCCUGA